rnacentral:lncRNA from 1 species
UAGUUUAGGAAUUAAUUGUAACAAAUUCCAUUUUUCUUUAAUGUAAUUCUUUCAUUUUCAGGGAAUUACUUUUAAACGUGUAGGUGUUCCUUCUACAAUGGAUUUAGUUAAAUCUAAAAGCAUGGAUGCCAUCAGGUAUGCUUUCUGACCUUGCUGAAUAAUUUUUGCUUUUGUAUUAGGCUAUUCAUCUUUAAGCUCUUCUAGUUCAAAUAUCAGAAAAUUUUAAUCACCAGUUUUACCAGCAGACAUUUAGUUAUAUUAAUAUAUGAAAACGUUACUCUUUCUUUUCCCAUUCAUUCUCUCAUCUUUUUUCCCUGUCAUGACCAAGAAAAUUUACUAUUUUUAAACCGUAGGUCUCUGGCUUCUGUUUCUUUUGCUGCUGUUGAUUUUUUCCGACCAUCAGCUCAGAGACUGAUAGAAGAGAAAGGAGCAGUGGAUGCAUUGGCUGCAGCAUUAGCCCACAUUUCUGGUGCAUCAAGCUUUGAACCACGGUCUUUGAUCACCUCUGAUAAGGUAGAAGUCUGUGAAAUAAUUGUAUUUGGUUGGGAAAAGGGUGAAAUUGAGCUAUAGCAGUAACUGCAUAAUCAAUGAGUGUUGCAUUUACUCCCUUCAAUAAAUUGCACUUUCUGUGCAGAGAAAAUUGUUUUGCUCUAUUAGAAAUUGACUUUCUCAUUUUCCUCCACCCCUAAAUUUUUGGGGGGGUGUGGUGGAGGCAGUAUCUGGGAUUGAACUCAGGGGCACCCGACCAAUGAGCCCCCAUCCCCAGACCUAUUUUGUAUUUUACUUAGAGACAAGGUCUCAAUGAAUUGCUUAGUGCCUCACUUUUGCUGAGGCUGGCUUUGAACUUGUGAUCCUCCUUUCUCAGCCUCCCAAGCCACUGGGAUUAAAGGCUUGCACUACCACGCUCUGCUAAAUUUUUCUUGACAGCCAUCUUCCAGAUUUUCAAGCCUAUAGAAAAAAAAAUUGAAAGAAUAUUGCAAUAAAUAAUGACCUAGAUUCAACAACUGUCAAUAUUGUGUUACAUUUGCUUUGUUUUUGAAUAUACUUUUUUUUUUUUUUUUGCUAAACCAUUUGGAAGUAAGUUGAAACAUUAUGACAUUAUUCCUAAGUAUUUGCUUCUUCUAAUGAUGAAGAUUCUUGUCUACAUAAUCACAAUAUCAUAGUCUCACCUACAAAAAUGAGCUAGGGAAUAAAGCUCAGUUGGGUAGAGUGCUUGCCUUGCAUGCACAAAGCCCUGGGUUCAAUCCCCAGCACCACCAAAAAAAUGUUAUAGUUCUACAUUAAUCAUCUUAUAUCUAAUAAAUAUGCAGAUUUGUUUAUUUCAAAAAUGUGUAUGUGGAGUAAAAUAUAGGAAAUCCUCACAUUGCACAGCACUGUGCAAACUGAAACUUGUAUAACAGAAUCUAUACUUCAUUUUGUUGCUAUGAAAUCAUGCAAAGUGAGAAACAGAUUCUGUGCAGGUGACAUCAUAACAUAGUAGAAUAUGAAGUAGGGAUUCUACGUGGAAGGGUCUGUGUGUAUAACACUGACUGACAUGGCCCACUGCCAGGUUGGUGUCAGAUAUCAAAACUUAUCACAUCAAUAAUCCCAAUGGUUUGGGCUGGGGAGGCUGAGAAUUGCGAGUUCAAAGCCAGCCUCAGCAACUGCAAGGCACUAAGCAACUCAGUGAGAUCCUGUCUCUAAAUAAAAUACAAAAUAGAGCUGAGGAUGUGGCUCCGUGGUCGAGUGUCCCUGAGUUCAAUCCCUGGUACCAAAACAAACAAACAAAAAAACACAUAAGAGCCAUUGGUAGCAAGUGGUUUAAAGAUUUACUUAUCUGGGUAUAAGUGAGCAGAAUCCCAGUAUGCAGAGACUCAUCAGUAAAAUCUCUCUGAUGUAGAGAAAGACAAGAGUGCACAUGAAUUUGGUCCUGGAACCUUUAUAAGACAAUAAUAGCCUGUUGUCAGGAUAUUAGAAUGAUAGGGCAGAGUAAUUCUGGGCAGCCAUCCCUGUAGCCGGGAGGAGGGAGAAAUGGGGCAGGGCAGAUAAAUUUGCUUGUGACAUUUGGUGUAGCACAAAUGAGUGCAAAUGGAGCAUCUGAUGGUUUUCUUGUGGCAGAUAUUAAUAGUUGUGCCAAAUGUCAUUUUGUUGGAAGUUAACCAUAUGUCCAAUUGUUUCUCCAUUUAUGUGUGUGUGUGUGUGUGUGAAAAAUCAGUAUUCUAGUUAAGGUUCUUAUGUUAUAAUUUGGUUGUUGUGUCUUUUUAGUAUCUUUUAGUCUAGAACAAUUUUCCAUCUUUUUUAUUUUUCAUGACUUUGAAUUUGUAAAGAGUUAGGUCAGUUGUCUGUUAGAAGAUCUCACUUUCUGGAUUUGUCCAAAAUUUUUCUUGCAUAAUUUAUUUUUGCCUUUAUCCAGAGUCACAAUGCAUAUGUCAAAGCUUGAUUUUUAUAUUCAGGCUAAAUGUUUUUUGGCAAGAGUAUGUUAUAUGUAAUACUGUAUACUUCAUAGUGAAUCAUAUCAAGAAGCAUAUGUCAUAUUGCUUUAGUAGUAUACUUAGUUUGGUUGCUUGUUUGUUGGCAACUGCCAUAUAUUUCCAUUUUCAAAGAAUAUUUUACUCUCUUAAUUAGUAAUCUGUGGGGUGAUACUUUUAGCAUCAAGCAGAUAUUCUAUCCCAAUAACUCACCGAAUACUUAAAUGUAUAAUAUCUUAAAACAAUAUUUAAACCAUAUUGGUUUUGUUUGUAGUACUAUGGAGUGAACUCAGGUGUGCUCUAGUUCUGGGCUGUAUCCCCAUACUGCACUCGACCCUGAGCCACAUCCUCAGCCCUAUUUUGUAUUUUUAUUUAGAGACAGGAUCUCACUCAGUUGCUUUGCUGGGGCUGGCUUUGAAUUCAUGAUUCUCCUGUCUCAGCCUCUGGAGUUCCUGGGAUUACAGGCAUGUGCCACCAUACCCGGUCCUUUUUAUUUUGAGAAAAUGUCUUACUAACUUACUGAAUCCGGCCUCAAACUUGACAUCUUCCUGUCUCUCAGCCUCCUGAGUCUUUGGGAUUACAGAUGUGUACCACUUCACCUGGCUAACCUAUUUAAUUUUACUCAAAACAUUAACCUACCUCUUCAUAAUGGCUUCCUCCUUGACUUCAUUCAUUACCAUAUUAGAGAGGUCUUUUUUUUUUUUUUUUUGUGGUGCUAGUGUUUGAACCCAAGGCUUCUACCAUUGUGCCACAUCCCCAGUCAGAGAGGUCUUUCCCAAUCACCCUGAUGCAUUCUAUAAUAGCUUGUUCUCCUUUUACAUUUCUUUAUCUUCUUCAUGAUGGUCCUUUUGCUGUUCAGUGAAGGUUUACAAAACAAGUACUUUUUGGUUAUUUAAUUAGUAGUAUACUUAAUUAGUAUAGUACUUCAAAAGUUCAGAGAGAUUUUUUUCCUUUUUUUUUAUGUUCUUCCACUCCAAGGUAACUUUUUAAAAACUCUUUCAGUGUUUCCUUUCGUCUUCACUACCUUAUCAUUCUCUGAUGCUGUUUUGUUUAAUUCUCUUAUAAAGCAUGAUGCGAAGAAUUAAAUAUAGUCUUUACAACACUACACAGAAAGAUGAUACUUUCAAAGAUCUAUAAACAUUAGUCUUUUUUUUUUAUUUGUUGAUAGACCUUUAUUUUAUUUAUGUAUUUAUAUGUGGUGCUGAGAAUCGAACCUAGUGCCUCACACAUGCCAGGCAAGUGUGCUACCACUGAGCCCCAGCCCCAGCCCCUAAACAUUAGUCUUUUAAUUUAGUUUCAGAGAAGUUAUUUUUUAGCAGCCAUGUUAUACUGUUGGUUCAUAAGAAAUGCAGUUAAGUCAUAUAGGUCUAUAGAGAUAGAACUUCAUUGUCCUGUGCUGCUACUGAUUUUUUUCCCAAACAUAAUGUGAGUUUUUUUUUUUUUUCCCUUAAGGGAUUUGUGACAAUGACUCUGGAAAGCCCUGAAGAAAUACAGAAUGUCACCUGUGCUUGGAAAGAACUUAACAGAAAGCUGAGUAGUAAUGCUGUGUCCCAAAUUACAAGAAUGUGCCUCCUAAAAGGAAAUAUGGUAGGCUUUUCUAGAUAAUCCAAAAGAUUUUUAAUCAAUGACCACAAGUAUUUAUAAGCAAUAGCCUAAUGGGAUGAAUAAUUCUAUUUUUCUAAGUGUUGGUUUGUUUCCAGUUGUGAAUUUGGGGAAUUAUAUAAUUAAUUCAUUUCUCUAGAGCUAUAAGUCAUUCUGCGUGGUUUGUCUUUCUGUUCCCUGCCCCGCCCCCACAGUGCAAACCAAGGGGAACAAACCAAGAGUCUUGUGCAUGCUCUACCUCUAAGCCACAUUUCCAACCCUGGUUUGAUUAUCUAAAACCCAAGUUAUCUAAGCUUCUGUUUUGGUAUAAAUAUCGUGUAGUUGUGUGUGUUUAUUUUCUAAGAGUAAAUAAUUGCAACAGUUAAAUAGCUAUACAGUUUAGACAACACACAAUAUGUCUGUUAUAAUUAACCUGCUAUUUAUUUGUUGUUAAUUUUAAUAGUAUGAAUUAAAUAAGUAUUUCAACAUUUAUUUAUAUAGCAUAUAAAACUGUAAUCUUUUUUUUUUGGUAUUGGGAAUUGAACCCAGGGUGCUUUACAUUGAUACAUUCCCCAGUCCUUUUGAGUUUUUAUUUUGUGAUAGGGUUUUGCUAAGUUGCUAAGGCUAGUCUUGAACUUGCAAGCCUCCUGAGUUGCUGGGAUUAGAGGUGUGUGCCACUGUGCUCGUAAAAGUGUAAUUUUAGUGACUGUGAUUUCUUCUAAUGGUUUUGAGAAAAGAUGUUAUAUUUAUUUAUCUCACAUUGCUACGUAGGUAGGCUUAUUCUAACAUAGAAUUUAUUAACUAAAUUGUUUAUUGGAAAUAAUCAUCUUUUUAAAGGUUUACUGUUAUUUCUCCUCAACACAGAUUUGAAGCAAAUAGGGAAAACAUACAAACAUUAACAAAAAAACAUAGAGGAGAGGUAAAGCAGAUCCAUAGACCAAACUAGUUAUUGAGUAUUAAAUUAACUUUCAACCAGGACUGAAGAGGAAACAUCUCUGGCUACAUUAGUAUCAUUAUAUGAUAAAUAUUCUACCACUUUUUUUUUUUUUUGUUUUGUUUUGUUUGUUUUUGUGGUUCUGGGGAUUAGAACUCAGGGCUUUCUGCAUGCAAGGCGUGCAUUUUACCAACUAAGUUAUAGCCCCGCCCAAAUUUCUACCUUUUUGACAGAAGCUUUCUGGCUCUAAAUUUUAUUUUAUUUGAAAUUAAAAAAUUAUGUUUAUUUUUGAGAUACGGGGGAUCCAACCCAAAGCUGUCUGCAUGUUAGGCAAGGAUUCUACCAUGUGAGUUAUAUCUCUACUCCCUGCCCCUCCCUCUCUCCCUCCCUCUCUCUUUGUCUUUUUUGGUACUGGGGAUUGAACCCAGAUUGUUUUUUUUUUUUUUUUUUUUUAAUGAGGUAACUUUUAUAUAUAUCUAUCUAUCUUUAUUUUAUUCGUUUUUAAAGAAUUUAUUAGAAGGAUCAUUUUAUAAGGGACAUGGAAUAAAAUUAUAGUGAUUGAAAAAAUAAUACUAGAGAAUAUUCUAGAGUCUUAUUAGUAUAUUCUUUUUUAAAAAAUAUUAUUUUUUUAAUAUUUAUUUUUUAGUUGCAGUUGGACACAAUAUCUUUAUUUUAUUUAUUUAUUUUAUCUGGUGCUGAGGAUCGAACCCAGGGCCUCGCAUGUGCUAGAAAAGUGCUCUACUGCUGAGCCACAACCCCAGCCCCAGUAGAUUCUUAUUAGAUAUUGUAUUUAGUUACUUUUCUGAUUUAGAAAAUACAUUAAGCAGAUACUCUGGAAUACACUUAAUAUUUUUUAUAGCAAAGAUUAUCAGCAAAUAUUAGUUUAUUAGUAAAAAUUAACUCAUGCAUCUAGAUAAAAAUAUUUUUAUUUUGCUUGCUUUUAGGGUGUUUGCUUUGAUGUUCCUACAACCGAGUCAGAAAAGUUACAGGUAUUUAAAAAAAAUUUUUAUCUCCUUCUCUAAAAGAUUGUUUUGAAAAACAUAAUUACUCUAUCAUUAUCAUGCCUAAGUCAGUUAAGAAUUCCUUAAUAUGAAAUAUCCAGUCUGUCUCAUAAUCAAAAAUUUUUUAUUAUAAAUAUUUUAAUCAAAUAAAAUGAUAGAAUUGUCUGAAUUCCCAUGUUCAUGUCAUCAGCUUCAGCUAUUCAUGGCUUGUGUGGUUUUUUGUUUGUUUGUUUGGUACCAGGGAUUGAACUCAGGGGCAUUUGCCCACUGAGCCACAUCCCCAGCCCAUUUUUUUUCCCCCAGCCCUUUUUUGUAUUUUAUUUUGAGAUAGGAUAUCACUGAGUUGCUUAGCGCAUUCCUUUUUGCAUCCUGCCUCAGCCUCCCAAGCCUCUGGGAUUUUAGGCAUUCACCACUGUGCCCGGCUCAUGGCUAGUUUUGUUUCAUCUCUGUUUCUAUCCACUUCCCUGUGUCUUUUAAGGCAUUCUAUCAUUUCAACCAUAAAUAUUUUCAUAUAUUUAAAAAGUAUACCUGUAGUAUCAUAUUUAAAUCUUCCGAAACAAUAAUCCCUAAAUAUUUUGUAUUUAAAUUUCCCCUGUUUUCUCCCCCAUUUUUCCUCCUGGUGCUGGGGAUUGAUCCAAGGGCCUCACACAUGCUAGUCAAGUGUUCUUCAACUGAGCUACACCACCAGCACUCCAGAAAAUUUUUCAUUAAUAAAGUCCAUAAAGUUUAUAUAUUGUAAUUUGUUGUUUUCUAUUUCUCUUUCAAUUUGUAGGAUGUCCUUUCUUUUUCCAAAAAAUUUCCUUGUAUUUUAUAUGUUGAAGAAACAGGUCCACUAGAGUCCAAAAAUUUGUUAUAUACCUUUGUAUAUUUAUAUAGUCACAUAUUUUGAGUCAAUAAUAGGAUUAAUUAUGAAGUCUUUUUUUUAUUUUUGGUACCAGGGAUUGACUCAGUGACACUCAACCACUGAGCCACAUCCCCAGCCCUAUUUUGUAUUUUAUUUAGAGACAGGGUCUCACUGAGUUGCUUAGUGCCUCACUGUUGCUGAGGCUGGGUUUGAACUCAUGAUCCUCCUGAUCCAGCCUCCUGAACCCCUGGGAUUACAGGCCUGAGCCACUGUGCCCAGCAAUUUUGAAGUCUUUUUAAAUAUUAGCAUUAUAUCAUGGAUACAUUCUACAUCAAUUAUAGAUACUCUUUUUUUGUUGGGGGGUGGGUAUUGGGAAUUGAACCCAGGGGGCACUUUACCGCUGAGCUAUAUUCCUUGCCUCCCCCUACCCACCUUUUUUUUUUUUUUUUUAGUUGUAGAUGGACACAGAACCUUUUCUAUUUAUGUCUAUGUGGUGCUGAGGAUAGAACCCAGUGCCUCACACAUGCUAGGCAAGCACUCUACCACAGAGCUAUAACCCCAGCCUUUUUUAAUUUUGAGCCAGGGUCUCUUUAAGUUGCUGAGGCUGUCCUCAAAUUUGGGAUCCUCCUGUCUUGCCCUCCCAGGUCACUGGGAUUACAGGAAUGUGCCACCAUGCCUGGCUACAGUUGCUUAUUUUUUAUGAUGCCCUGGUAUGGAGGCUCAACUUUGAUCACCAGUGUUCUGUUUUCUGAAAUUUAGACUAUUUCCAAUUUAUUAUUAUAAAUAAAACUGCCCAGAAUAUUGAUAUAAGUAAUUCUUCCUGCAUUGCCAUGUUUAAUCUCUUUAAGAUGAAUUUUUUAAUAUGACUGUUGGCCAAAAGGUUUGUGCAUUUUUUUUAAUGUUUAUUUUUUAGUUGUAGUUGGACAUAAUACCUUUAUUUUUUAUUUUUUUUUUUUUAAAUAUUUAUUUAUUUAGUUUUCCGUGGACACAACAUUUUUGUUUGUAUGUGGUGCUGAGGAUCGAACCCGGGCCGCACGCAUGCCAGGCAAGUGCGCUACCGCUUGAGCCACAUCCCCAGCCCCUAUUUUUUAUUUUUAUUGACUUAUUUUUAUGUCAGGAUGAGGAUCACACCCAGGCUCUUGCACGUGUGAGGCAAAUGCUCUACCGCUGAGCCAAAACCCCAGCCCUGGUUUGUGCAUUUUUAAGACUGUGCUCAUAUGUUGCCAAACCUACCAAUGAUUUAUGUGGGUGUUUUUCUCUUCUCAUUCUUAUCAACAGGGCAUUUUACAUUGACUUCCCUUGGCAACUUGUGCUCAUAAUGAACAAUAGUUAUUACCAAGAUAACACAUUGCACUGCUCUUAUGAGCUGCCUUUUUUUUUUUUUUUUUUAGGGGAACACUAAGGAUUGAACCCAGGGCAAGCAUUCUACUACUGAGCACUGUCUCCAUACCACUGAUUCAUGUAUCUUGAGUUGAUUACUCUAGUAAAUUGUUUUUAGUAGCUAUAUUUUUUAGUUCCUGGUUACUGUUGACAGAUUUCUAAUCCCUGUUAUCGGCCGUAAUAUAUCUUGUUUUUGUCAGUAUACCUCUUUAAAAUAAUGGAAUGCUUAUUAAUGCUCUAUUUCUUUGUCCUAAGAAAGCAGAUAGCAGUCUCCUUUAGACCGUCUAAAUUGAUGAGUUUAAAGUCUUGAAAUGGGUCAGAGAGUUCUCCUGAAACUAAAGCUUAGUAACUUUAGUCAUUGAACGUGUUUUCUUUUUCUUUUUUUAAAAUAUUUAUUUAUUUGGUGUAGAUGGACACAACACAAUGCCUUUAUUUUUAUGUGGUACUGAGGAUCGAACCCGGGUCCCGCCUGUGCUAGGCAAGCGCUCUACCGCUGAGCCACAAUCCCAGCCCUGAACAUGUUUUCUUUUUGCUUAUUUUUUGGUUUUCAUUUUUGUUCCAGACACUUUGGAUUUAAGUGAUAGAUGAUCUUUGGCUAACAGAUAAAGGACAUGCAAAAGUAUUCUUUGCUUGCUUAUGGUUUCAAUUUUGCAUUUCUAUUAAUCCUGUAAAUUCUUCUAACAGGCAGAGUGGCAUGAUUCAGAUUGGAUACUCUCAGUGCCAGCCAAAUUACCUGAAAUCGAAGAGUAUUAUGAUGGAAAUACAUCUUCUAAUUCCAGACAAAGGAGUAGUGGCUGGUCAAGUGGCAGGUCUGGCCGGUCAGGUCGAUCAGGUGGUCGAUCUGGUGGCCGGUCAGGUAGACCGAGUCGACAGGGAAGUCGGUCAGGAAGUCGACAAGAUGGUAGAAGACGAAGUGGGAACAGAAAUCGAUCAAGAAGCGGGGGCCACAAACGGAGUUUUGACUGAGCAUUUGAUAGUUAAUCUACCAGUGUGAGCUUGCCUAUGUCUGCCUAAUCAUGUACAUUAUCCACCAAAAAUUAGGUCAUCAUAGUUGAGGUGUGUGUCUGCUGUUUGCAAAGAAGUUGGUCGUAUUUUUUUAAAAAGUAUUUCACAAAAAUGGUUGUAAACAAAUCUACUUAUCCAGUUAUAACUUUGAAUAAAAAAAAC